rnacentral:misc_RNA from 1 species
ACAAACUUGGUCAUUUAGAGGAAGUAAAAGUCGUAACAAGGUUUCCGUAGGUGAACCUGCGGAAGGAUCAUUACCAAUCUCUAGCGGACCUUGGCUUGUCCCCAUGUCUCGCAAAACUUUGUAUUUAAAACCCACUCAUAAAGUUAUAAAUAUACUCAUCAUUAUUGUAAUAAUAAAGAUCACUUUCAACAACAGAUCUCUUGGCUCUCUUAGAGGAAGUAAAAGUCGUAACAAGGUUUCCGUAGGUGAACCUGCGGAAGGAUCAUUACCAAUCUCUAGCGGACCUUGGCUUGUCCCCAUGUCUCGCAAAACUUUGUAUUUAAAACCCACUCAUAAAGUUAUAAAUAUACUCAUCAUUAUUGUAAUAAUAAAGAUCACUUUCAACAACGGAUCUCUUGGCUCUCGCAUCGAUGAAGAACGCAGC